GACGAACGCUGGCGGCGUGCUUAACACAUGCAAGUCGAACGGAAAGGCCCUGCUUUUGUGGGGUGCUCGAGUGGCGAACGGGUGAGUAACACGUGAGUAACCUGCCCUUGACUUUGGGAUAACUUCAGGAAACUGGGGCUAAUACCGGAUAGGAGCUCCUGCUGCAUGGUGGGGGUUGGAAAGUUUCGGCGGUUGGGGAUGGACUCGCGGCUUAUCAGCUUGUUGGUGGGGUAGUGGCUUACCAAGGCUUUGACGGGUAGCCGGCCUGAGAGGGUGACCGGCCACAUUGGGACUGAGAUACGGCCCAGACUCCUACGGGAGGCAGCAGUGGGGAAUAUUGCACAAUGGGCGGAAGCCUGAUGCAGCAACGCCGCGUGCGGGAUGACGGCCUUCGGGUUGUACCCCGCUUUCGCCUGUGACGAAGCGUGAGUGACGGUAAUGGGUAAAGAAGCACCGGCUAACUACGUG
rnacentral:rRNA from 1 species